UAGGGAAUCUUCCGCAAUGGACGAAAGUCUGACGGAGCAACGCCGCGUGAGUGAUGAAGGUUUUCGGAUCGUAAAGCUCUGUUGCCAGGGAAGAACGUCUUGGAGAGUAACUGCUCUAAGAGUGACGGUACCUGAGAAGAAAGCCCCGGCUAACUACGUGCCAGCAGCCGCGGUAAUACGUAGGGGGCGAGCGUUGUCCGGAAUUAUUGGGCGUAAAGCGCGCGCAGGCGGCUGUUUAAGUCUGGUGUUUAAUCCUGGGGCUCAACCCCGGGUCGCACUGGAAACUGGACGGCUUGAGUGCAGAAGAGGAGAGUGGAAUUCCACGUGUAGCGGUGAAAUGCGUAGAGAUGUGGAGGAACACCAGUGGCGAAGGCGACUCUCUGGGCUGUAACUGACGCUGAGGCGCGAAAGCGUGGGGAGCAAACA
rnacentral:rRNA from 1 species